UACGGAGGGUGCAAGCGUUAAUCGGAUUACUGGGCGUAAAGCGCACGCAGGCGGUUUGUUAAGUCAGAUGUGAAAUCCCCGAGCUUAACUUGGGAACUGCAUUUGAAACUGGCAAGCUAGAGUCUUGUAGAGGGGGGUAGAAUUCCAGGUGUAGCGGUGAAAUGCGUAGAGAUCUGGAGGAAUACCGGUGGCGAAGGCGGCCCCCUGGACAAAGACUGACGCUCAGGUGCGAAAGCGUGGGGAGCAAACAGG
rnacentral:rRNA from 1 species